rnacentral:rRNA from 1 species
UACGGAGGAUGCAAGCGUUAUCCGGAAUGAUUGGGCGUAAAGGGUCCGCAGGUGGCAUUGUAAGUCUGCUGUUAAAGAGUCACGCUCAACGUGAUAAGAGCAGUGGAAACUACAAAGCUAGAGUAUGAUCGGGGCAGAGGGAAUUCCUGGUGUAGCGGUGAAAUGCGUAGAUAUCGGGAAGAACACCGGUGGCGAAGGCGUUCUGCUAGGCCAAGACUGACACUGAGGGACGAAAGCUAGGGGAGCGAAUGGG